rnacentral:rRNA from 1 species
UUGAAAGGGAAACGAUUGAAGUCAGUCGUACCGACGAGAAAUCAACUUAUUGUGUGCGAACUUGUGGGCGUGCGUGAGUUUCGGCCUCGCUGUUUGCAUGUUUGUGCGUUUUGGGUGUACUUUUUCGUAUGGUAGGCCAACAUCAGUUUCGAUUACCAUAAAAUGACCGGCGGAAUGUAGCUUCGAUUUCGGUUGAAGUGUUAUAGCCUCUGGUAGAUGUGGUGAUUGGGACUGAGGAUUGCAACGAAUAUCCUUUGGGCUAUCCGUCUGAUCUCUGAAAGUUGCUCAGGUACCGAAAGCGUGCUUACGGUCAUCUAAGUUGACGGUCAAUAGGUUAGAACGUGAUUACAUUCGUUAAGGA